GAUCCUGGCUUAGGAUGAACGCUGGCGGCGUGCUUAACACAUGCAAGUCGAACGAAGCAACUUAUUACGAUCCCUUCGGGGUGACGAUUGUUGACUGAGUGGCGGACGGGUGAGUAACGCGUGGGUAACCUACCUGUACAGGGGGACAACAGUUGGAAACGACUGCUAAUACCGCAUAAGCGCACAGUAUCGCAUGGUACAGUGUGAAAAGUUUUUUCGGUACAAGAUGGACCCGCGUCUGAUUAGCUAGUUGGUGAGGUAACGGCUCACCAAGGCGACGAUCAGUAGCCGACCUGAGAGGGUGACCGGCCACAUUGGGACUGAGACACGGCCCAAACUCCUACGGGAGGCAGCAGUGGGGAAUAUUGCACAAUGGGCGAAAGCCUGAUGCAGCCGACGCCGCGUGAGCGAAGAAGUAUUUCGGUAUGUAAAGCUCUAUCAGCAGGGAAGAUAAUGACGGUACCUGACUAAGAAGCACCGGCUAAAUACGUGCCAGCCGCAGC
rnacentral:rRNA from 1 species